UAGGGAAUCUUCCGCAAUGGGCGAAAGCCUGACGGAGCAACGCCGCGUGAGUGAUGAAGGUCUUCGGAUCGUAAAACUCUGUUAUUAGGGAAGAACAAAUGUGUAAGUAACUAUGCACGUCUUGACGGUACCUAAUCAGAAAGCCACGGCUAACUACGUGCCAGCAGCCGCGGUAAUACGUAGGUGGCAAGCGUUAUCCGGAAUUAUUGGGCGUAAAGCGCGCGUAGGCGGUUUUUUAAGUCUGAUGUGAAAGCCCACGGCUCAACCGUGGAGGGUCAUUGGAAACUGGAAAACUUGAGUGCAGAAGAGGAAAGUGGAAUUCCAUGUGUAGCGGUGAAAUGCGCAGAGAUAUGGAGGAAAACCAGUGGCGAAGGCGACUUUCUGGUCUGUAACUGACGCUGAUGUGCGAAAGCGUGAGGAUCAAACAGG
rnacentral:rRNA from 1 species